GGAUCACAACAUACAUGUUAGAACCAUCCAAAAUCGAACCAUAAUGCAUGAUAAGUUCAGCCCGUAUUAGAAUAUAUUUCGAUUGUUAUUUUGUUGAUCCAAUUAAAUAUUUUUUUUUCUCAUAUGGUAAUCUACAUGCCUGCAAAAUCUCAUGCUCAUCCAUUGAACCAUUUGAGAGAUUACAAACACAAAAUUCUGUUUGUGUGAAUCCAUGAUGAAUAAAAGACUUUAGACCUGAUUUUGAUGCAUAUAAUGUCUGUUUCUCAUUAUAAAAC
rnacentral:lncRNA from 1 species